GAAGGCGCUGAGCUGAUAUCCCAGCAAUGCCAGCUCUAAAGGAAGGGUGUGAAAGCAGGGCAGAUAGAGGCUCCCCUGCCCUCAUCCCAUGAACUUUCUCUUUAACCUCUAAGUUUAUUUUUUAAACGCUAAUUAAAGGCUUAUGUGUAUUUAUCUGCAUUUAUCUAUAUACAUAUAUAUAGCUAUCUCUCAUGCUUAAGCCAAACAAUUGGGUAUUUUCCCUUUCUGAUAAAGUUGAAAAAAUGUUUUUGAGAGUCGUAGACCUUUUAUUAACACCUUAUGUUAAAUUCAUUCUGUUAGACGUCUGGAGGAUUAUAACAGCUUUGGAGGAGGCUCUUUUAUUAACUGUCUUAUUCCACCGAAAGGGGCAUCCUCGUUUGAAUUUGAAGAGGUUUAACAGUAAUAUCAUUCAUCCUUUCGUGUUUCCGUUAGAUUUCAAGUCCUCUCUCCAGGUGUGAUGGAAGGGGAGAACUUAGGUGGAGAUGAAAGGGAGUCGCUCUUGGUUAGAAAAUUGGAAGAAUUCAAUUCUCAGGGAGAGUGACACUGAAUGGGAACAAGAGCCAAGACUGUGCAGGGAGGAAGAGGCAGAAGGAAAGAGAAGGAAGGAGAAAUAGCGCCGGUCUCCUAAGGUGUUGAAGGCAGAGCUGGAAUCUUGUGGAACACAGCCUGGCUGUUGUUACAGAUUUAACACCCACAGAUUGUAUUGUCUUACCUCAUCUAGUCCGUCACACAGCAAAACUUGGACUACACGGAGAUGGGGCUUGGGGAUCUAAUCAAAAAUGAGAUGUACCUUACCACCUGGUGCUCUGAAAAAAGCCUGCUGUUUGGGGCACAUUUUGUAAUAUGUCACUAUUAUACUUAAUUGGAAAUAAAAUUGUGUAAAUAUC
rnacentral:lncRNA from 10 species